GUGAAUGCGAUUUACAGGAGCGGGGCUGGCGGAGCGGCGAGUGCUUUCUCUGCGAUCAGCUCGCGGCGCUCUCUAUAUAGUGAACUUUGACACGACUGCUGCAACUUAGCACACGUUACCAUGGCGACCGCUCGCCUUAUAAGGCAACAGACUGCGUUUGACUGGUCAAAAGCUCCCGGACCGCCCCUCGCCUCUCAUUGGACCGCUCAGCCUUGUGCGGGCUGGCAUGGCUGCCAAGGCAGGCCGCCCGGUCCUAAAGGGAGAACGGUUCUGGGGCAGCUGAGAACGGAGGCUAAGCAGAAAUUUACGGAUAACACACACGGGGAUGCGGUAGAAUUGUGACUCGGUAGCACAAUCUCUGUACUAUAUAUGGAGCAACUCUAAAUAGAUUAAAUCGCAAUAGGAGUACAGCAUCGAACAAAUACCGAGUUUCACUCUGAACUCAGCGGAAAGCAGUUACGUCUAACAGAAUGCAAUGAAUUCCUCUUCUC